rnacentral:rRNA from 1 species
UGUUAAAAAGCUCGUAGUUGGAUCAAGAGUUGGACAGUGCACGGUGGCCCUGUUUGUGUGGUUGGCUCCGGUCAGCCAUACGGCAGCGGAACAACCCCGUGCGCCAAACUGUCCACUCUAACAGACCGAAAUGGUUCCCUGUGAGUAGGCUCCUUAGUUGGGGCUGAAAGCGCCUACGCAUCAACCAUAUGCAUACGGGACGUCGGUCAACGUUACUGUGAACAAACCAGCGUGUCCAAAGCAGGCUUUCGCCUGAAUGUUCGAGCAUGGAAUAACAAGGGAUCGAUUCUCUCGGUUCUUUUUAAUGGUUUUUAACCCGAGAAGGAGUAAUUCAGGCCACGGUGUCUGAGUUGGGUUUCCCUGGGCUUCGGCUCAGGCCCCAAUUAGGCCGUGUCCUUACGGGAUCAAUAGGGACUGACGGGGU